CACUAGCAAGUCGAGCGGAUCUUGUCCUUCGGGACAAGGUUAGCGGCGGACGGGUGAGUAACACGUGGGUAACCUGCCUGUAAGACUGGGAUAACAUUCGGAAACGAAUGCUAAUACCGGAUACGCAGCUUGGUCGCAUGACCGGGCUGGGAAAGAUGGAGCAAUCUAUCACUUAUAGAUGGACCCGCGGCGCAUUAGCUAGUUGGUGAGGUAACGGCUCACCAAGGCGACGAUGCGUAGCCGACCUGAGAGGGUGAUCGGCCACACUGGGACUGAGACACGGCCCAGACUCCUACGGGAGGCAGCAGUAGGGAAUCUUCCGCAAUGGACGAAAGUCUGACGGAGCAACGCCGCGUGAGUGAUGAAGGUUUUCGGAUCGUAAAGCUCUGUUGCCAGGGAAGAAUGCUUGGGAGAGUAACUGCUCUCAAGGUGACGGUACCUGAGAAGAAAGCCCCGGCUAACUACGUGCCAGCAGCCGCGGUAAUACGUAGGGGGCAAGCGUUGUCCGGAAUUAUUGGGCGUAAAGCGCGCGCAGGCGGCCUUGUAAGUCUGUUGUUUAAACUUGGGGCUCAACCCCAAGUCGCAAUGGAAACUGCAAAGCUUGAGUGCAAAA
rnacentral:rRNA from 1 species